CAACAGGGAUUGCCUCAGUAACGGCGAGUGAAGCGGCAACAGCUCAAAUUUGAAAUCUGAAGUUUACUUCCGAGUUGUAAUUUGAAGAGGAUGCUUCGGUUGUAGCUCCGGCCUAAGUUCCUUGGAACAGGACGUCGCAGAGGGUGAGAAUCCCGUACGCGGCUGGCGGCUUACUUCCAUGUGUAGCUCCUUCGAAGAGUCGAGUUGUUUGGGAAUGCAGCUCUAAAUGGGUGGUAAAUUUCAUCUAAAGCUAAAUACUGGCGAGAGACCGAUAGCGCACAAGUAGAGUGAUCGAAAGAUGAAAAGCACUUUGAAAAGAGAGUUAAACAGUACGUGAAAUUGUUGAAAGGGAAGCGCUUGCAAUCAGACUUGCUUUCUGUUGAUCAACGUUCCUUUUGGUUCGUGCACUCUGCAGUUUGCAGGCCAGCAUCGGUUGCGGCGGCGGGACAAAGACUCAGGGAAUGUGGCUGCCUUCGGGCAGUGUUAUAGCCCUGCGUGUAAUGCCGCCUGCCGCGAUCGAGGACCGCGCUUCGGCUAGGAUGCUGGCUUAAUGGUUGUAAGCGACCCGUCUUGAAACACGGACCAAGGAGUCUAACAUCUAUGCGAGUGUUUGGGUGUCAAACCCAUACGCGUAAUGAAAGUGAACGGAGGUGGGAGUCUUCGGAUGCACCAUCGACCGAUCCUGAUGUUUUCGGAUGGAUUUGAGUAUGAGCAUAGCUGUUGGGACCCGAAAGAUGGUGAACUAUGCCUGAAUAGGGUGAAGCCAGAGGAAACUCUGGUGGAGGCUCGCAGCGGUUCUGACGUGCAAAUCGAUCGUCAAAUUUGGGUAUAGGG
rnacentral:rRNA from 1 species